UCCUUAGAGUUUGAUCCUGGCUCAGGAUGAACGCUAGCGGCAGGCCUAAUACAUGCAAGUCGAACGGUAAGUAUGAUAGCAAUAUUAUACCAAGAGUGACGCACGGGUGCGUAACACGUAUGCAACCUACCCUUUACAGGCGGAUAGCUCGGGGAAACUCGAAUUAACCCGCCAUAAGAUAAUUGGAUGGCAUCAUUUGAUUAUUAAAACUGAGGUGGUAAAGGAUGGGCAUGCGUCUGAUUAGUUAGUUGGUAGUGUAACGGACUACCAAGACGAUGAUCAGUAGGGGAACUGAGAGGUUGAUCCCCCACACUGGCACUGAGAUACGGGCCAGACUCCUACGGGAGGCAGCAGUAGGGAAUAUUGGUCAAUGGGUGAGAGCCUGAACCAGCCAUGCCGCGUGCAGGAAGAAGGCCUUCUGGGUUGUAAACUGCUUUUGCCAGGGGCUAAAAAGCUCAUGCGUGAGAAAUUGAAAGUACCUGGUGAAUAAGCCACGGCUAACUACGUGCCAGCAGCCGCGGUAAUACGUAGGUGGCGAGCGUUGUCCGGAUUUAUUGGGUUUAAAGGGUGCGUAGGCGGCCCUGUAAGUCAGUGCUGAAAUAUCCCAGCUUAACUGGGAGGGUGGCAUUGAUACUGCGGGGCUAGAGUACAGAUGAGGUAGGCGGAAUUGACGGUGUAGCGGUGAAAUGCUUAGAUAUCGUCAAGAACACCUAUAGCGAAGGCAGCUUACUAGGCUGUAACUGACGCUGAGGCACGAAAGUGUGGGGAUCAAACAGGAUUAGAUACCCUGGUAGUCCACACUGUAAACGUUGAUUACUCGCUGUGUGCGAUAUACAGUACGCGGCCAAGCGAAAGCGCUAAGUAAUCCACCUGGGGAGUACGCCGGCAACGGUGAAACUCAAAGGAAUUGACGG
rnacentral:rRNA from 1 species